rnacentral:tRNA from 1 species
GAAUGUGGCUCAAGUGGUAGCGCACUCGCCUGGCAUGUGUGCGGCCUGGGUUUGAUCCUCAGAACCACAUACA